AACAAAGUAGGAAUGUUCUGCCCCGUGCAAGUGCUCAAGUCAUUGUUUCCUGUUCGACCUUUUACGCGACGGACACAGUGUUCUAGACAAGAAGCAACAAUGAUAGAAAUCCACACGUGUAAGCUUCAUCGUGAAACUUGGUCAAAUCUCUAGUACUACCUCUGGGGCCAAGGGCGUCAAACUCAUUUUCAUCGUGGGCCACAUGUCAGGACUUGGUCCUUGGGUUUUAUUUUCCCGGAAGGCAACGGAAAGUUGGCGCGUGCAAGGCGAGUAUUUUCGUAAAUUCACCAAGGCGUCACCGUGGAGUUAUUGAGUCUGUUUAGCUGAUUGGAGAGCUAGCUUCCGCAGCUAGUGUUUCCAUGACGAUGACUUCUGUUUUGUUUGAUCAGCCAUUUUACUGCCGUUUU